GACAUAUAGGAGAGCUGCCUGUGAUUAUGGUACUCGGUAUAGUGUGUGGACAGCAAAAAUGGCAGCAUGAAGUGAAAAGGAGCAAAGCAAUCAGUCUUACUUACUAAAUUGUAGACAAGAAGUAAUUAAGAGAGCUGCUAAAGUAUAUAGACGUUUCAGUUUUUCAGAGUUGCAAAAAUCAUCAAAGAAGCAAAACUAAAGGUCGAAAGGAGAGAAUGUCACCAGCAUGCAGAAUAAUAUCAUGUAGUAAAGAUGCUACAUGAUCUUCACCAUGACUUCACCAUGAUUCAGUGAGUCCAGAUUGACUUCACCAUGACUUCACCAUGAUUCAGUGAGUCCAGAUUGACUUCACCAUGACUUCGCCAUGAUUCAGUGAGUCCAGAUUGACUUCACCAUGUUCAAUGAGUUGUGUAGAUGUCCAUUUGGAGCUCUGUCUACCCUUUUAUUUGACACUUUUGUCAAGAUCAUCUAAAUAUCUAUAUUAUUAAAAAGUUUCCACUGUAUUAUCCA